UGAAAUGGUGUACUUUUUAUUGUCAUUUAUUCAUUGUAAUACAUGAUAUAGUUUCUAAUUAUUUUAAUGACUGAUUAUUAUAAUUGUUGCUCAUGAAUCGCGUGCCGACUGUGGCUGAGUUCGCACACGCAUCUGUGUUGGCCAUGGGCAGAUAGUCUGGAGUGCCUCCCCCCAAAUCCACCAGGGCUCUCAGCCCCCAGCAUGGCCUGCGCUGGUUCGCAUGGUGGCAAUUCGGCAGGUUCCCACGAAAGCAAUCAGAAGCAUGCAAGCCUUAUUGGGGUCCAGACUCAGAACCCAUGAGACACUGGUUCUGUUGCAUUCUGUUUGCUAAAGAGAGUCAAAAGGCCGGACAGUGCUUCUCACCCAUGGGUGGGGAGACAAGACCCUCCAUGAGUGUAUUGGCAAGGCACUGGGGUCGUUGGCAGUCUUACCACCUCUCUGUCUGGAUUCCCCUUUGAAACCUUUGCUGUUCUCAUUCAUUUGGGGAAUAUAAAUAAUAGUGAAAGGGAAUAUAAGGGAAGGGAGAAGAAAUGUGUGGGAAAUAUCAGAAAGGGAGACAGAACGUAAAGACUGCUAACUCUGGGAAACGAACUAGGGGUGGUAGAAGGGGAGGAGGGCGGGGGGUGGGAGUGAAUGGGUGACGGGCACUGGGUGUUAUUCUGUAUGUUAGUAAAUUGAACACCAAUAAAAUAUAAAAAAAAAAAAAAGAAACCUUUGCUGAUCAUUUUAAUGAAAGUCAAAGUGUGGAAAAGAGCAAUUAGGCUUUCAGAAGGGCGAUUAAGGGAAAUGGUUCAUUGACACCUGAUAAAUUCCAACUGUUCAGGCCCAAUUUUAAUCUUCACUCCUAUUCCCAGGGAAACAGUCGUCUAAAGAAGCCAAAAUUAGAAGCCCAACAGCAUUGAGAGUUAUUUCUACAGACUGCAAACCUUGAAAAUAAUGGGAAAGUGUAUAAACUUAGCAAAAAUGGAAGUUUGGUAAUGCAUUAGCACCACCACCAGAGAUGGCUCUCCUGCCUUCCUGCAGAAUGCACAUAUUCCAAGUAAUACAGCAGGACAGUGCCUGGGACACGAGUGAACAAUACACAUACACGCGAUCACUCUUAUCACUCAGAUUCCACAAAAUCUUACUAAGAACCUACUCAGUGCCACAUGUGCUAACAAAUGCAUGUCGUAGGAUUUAAUAAAUGUCCACUGAGUAGAAGGGCAGCUGAUCACAUAGGUUUACUGCUUGAUUCCCAGACUGAUGCACUCACAGGGGAACCCAGCACAAAUGGGUCUGCAGAAGCCAAGAAUGUGGAUUAAUCAGAUUUGUGCGAGGCUCUCUCCCCAACUCUUCAUUUAGAUAACAUGGCAAAUAGAAUGUGAACCCUCCUCCCCAGUUCACAUCCUAAACCCUGGAAACUGUGGAUGAAGAGGUUGCCUUCCAUGCUCCAAGGAGACUUUGCAGAUGUGAUUAAGUUAAUGAUCUCGAGGCAAGGAGAUUGUCCUGGAUCAUCCGGGGGGCCAUGAGCUGACAGAUUCGGAGAGGAGGGACACAGGGGGUCACAGUGAGAGGAGAGGUGAGGUCAGAAGGUGCUGAGCAGCUGGCUUUGCAGAUGGAGGGUGGGUCUCUAAUGCAAGGAGCGUGGGCAGCCCCUCACCCUGGAAAGGGAAGGAAAUCAUUUUCCCUGAGAGCCUCCUGAAUAAAGGCAGCUCUGUCAACACCUUGAUGUAAAGCUUCUGCCUCCAGAACUGUCCGAGGAUAAAUGCUUUAAGCCACUGAGUGUGCGGUCAUUUGUUACAGCAGCCGUAGCAAUCAGUGCGGAUGGGAAUGAGUGCAGAGGCUUCCUAAUUAGUUCAAACAUCAGCCUCUCCAGUCCCACCAAGGAGCCCAGCACGUGGCUGAGGUGGUGGUCGCCAGAACCAGACAGCACGUCAUCCAGCUAUCCACUCCCUGUGCCUCAGUGUCCCCAUCCACACAAUGGGCAGUAGUCCUAGCUCAUGCCUCACAGUGUGGAUAGAAGGACUAAGUGCAUUAAUGCAGGAAAUGUGCCUCUAGCUUCUAGCACUGGGGAAAAAAGUUAACAAUAUCAAACAUAUGUCUGAUUCUUAGGGAGCUUCAAAUCUUUUUUUUUAACUAUACUUCAGUUACAUUACACGAGGUCCCUGGGAACCUGGGCUUCCCUGGGGCGUCAGCAUUGGCCCCCGGGACCCUACUGCCCAGCAUGAGGUGGCUAAGUGGCUGGUGCUUGGCAUACAGGAAGCACACGAGUGUCUGCAGUUACUGCUUUUCCCAAUGGGGCAGCCUUGGCGAAAUCUCUGUAAAAGUCAGCCCAGCUCUGAGAGCCACAGUGUGGGUAGCAGACGUGCUCCUGGAGCCUGUCCUCCUGGGUCACCCUGUAGCAGAGCUCCUACAGGUGAACUGUUGCUUUGGCACUUCUGGAAAACCUACGGGCCCCAGCGGCAGUGUUGGCAGGAGGCCCCACCCCAGAGCCGCCACCACAGCCUGUUUAUUCUUGGGGCCAGGUGGGUCGGAGUCCAGGCUGCUAUCUUCUGCAAGCCUCCAUGAUGGCUCGUCUCCUCCUGCACACAUCUGCUCCCUACAACCCACCUCUGUACAAGUGCGAAGUCUGACCAUGCUAAAAACUCAGACUUGAAGACCCCUUGCCAUCAAGGGCCCCCAAGACCCAAGCUCAUUGCCCACCUUGCUAUGCUUUACUCAUGAGCUCCAUACACAGUGGCCUCCUCCCCUACUCCCCCAGCACAGGGGCUCCCUUCCCCUCCAGCACGCUGGCAUUUACUCUUCCCACUCUGGGAAGAGUGACAAGUUCUCUUUCCAGCUGCUGGCACACCUCCACCCUUCCCAUCAUUCCCACUGUGGUGCAAGGGCCCCUCCCUGACUCAGGGCCCACAGAUCUCACCUGCUCACCCACACCCCAGCCACUCAGAAGCCCUGUUCUAUCUCCUCACCACACAUGUCACUACCUGGAAAUAUCUUCCUAAAACCUGAUCUGUGUGCCUUCCAGCCUGUAACCACUCUCGAGGGGGAAGAGCUUGCCUGUCCUGGCUCAUGGCCGCAGUCCGGGGUGCAACAGGGUCUGACACCUAACAAGUGCUUCACAAUUGCUUGUUGAGACAAUGCAUGGAUGGAUAAAUGAGCGAAUCUCACAUGAGGUCAACCUGGAUGAGAUCAGAGCCGAUUGCAGUUGGAAGCCUGGAGCAGGCCUGGGGAUAAUCACCCAGGGUCCAUUUCGAAAGAACAAACCAUGGAAAGCCAUGCUCACAAAUCAGUUAAGAACAAAGUAGUAAAUAACACAUCUUGAGAGUGAGCUCUGAGAAUUCCUCCCCGACUACGAAGCGGGGCACUGAGAUGGAGCUAGUGUGGACGUGCUCACGUCUUGGCUUCCAUUCAACCCAGAAGAACAGAGGAAAGAGGACUUCUUCCCGAAUGAUGAGAUUACACUGGACAACUUAAUGGAAAAUUCUCUGGUCCCGCUGAGGCAUUAAAUAGUUGGUUUCCACAUGGAAGCCUCCAUCGCAUGGGACAAGCCCUUGACAAACUGUUCCUUUGUUUUUGUUUUUUUUUUUGUUUUUUUUCUUCUUGGAAGUGUUAUGGGCAGAAAAUAAAAUGAACCAGAAAAGUUUUCCCCCAACUACUGCAUUGUCUCUGAGCUUCACCACUCAGCAGUAAGGACUCAGCUUAACGGGUGGAAGGACAAGAAAGUUCGAAGAUGGAUGAUGCUUUUGCAUGCAAUUAUAAUGGGAUAUUAAUUAUGUGUUUUUGAGUUGGCUAGAGUUAUAAAUGGUUCAUAUAGAAGGAGGGCCAGCUUUCUUUUUCAAUGUAUUUCAUCAUCACUGCUCUUCGCCAAGAAAAAUAAACCCCCUCCCUCUCUGGGGAUUAUCAGAUUCUCCUGAGAUUAUUAAGUAAUGGAAGAAAAUUUAAGCUCUGAGAGGUCAGAUUUGGGUAAUCUUGCACUCCCGAGCUGGCCGUUAGGUGCUCAGAUCACCCUAAGCUCCUGUGAAUUGAAACUGGCACCCCAAUGUCUGCCAUUGAUCCACUGAGCACACUUGCUACAAAUGUCAGGAUUUCACAUCGUAGAGUCUUCUACCAACUGGACGUGGCUGAGAAGCUGACGGUCACAAAAACCGCUAAUUUCAACUGGGUUGAGAAGUGCAUUGGCCGUACAGCACACUAUAUUUGACGGGAGACUGAGUCCAAAUCUCUCCCCGGAAACCCUCGCAGGUGGAAGUUGGGAGCUGGCCUGGGUAGUUUGCCUUUCAGUUCCAAGACUGUAUUUAGACCUUGCCCUAAGUUUAUGUCAAUCUUCUGGUUUGCUACCAUUUCCUUAACUAUUUCCAAGAAGAUCAAAAUACAGCCUUAAACAAGGAGCCUGGGAAAUACUAAAACAAAACAUGAGACUAGCUUUUGAUGAUUUCAAGACUAUUUUUGAAGAAGGAGCUCCAAUGAGACACCCAGAAACAACAGGGAAGGAUGCCCUUCAUUUUAUGUCAUGCCCUCAGCUCUAUGUUCCAGAGACAACACGUAGGCACCGCAUGUGAGUUUUUGGAUCUGGUGGGGCUUGAGAAAUAGCCACUGAGAGAUGGAGAAGUCUGAUCUCAAUGAUGAAUUUCCCUGCUUCAUUUCCUUCAUUAAGACAAACAACAAACAUAGUUUUUAAC
rnacentral:lncRNA from 1 species